GAUGAACGCUGGCGGCGUGCCUAACACAUGCAAGUCGAGCGCGUCUGAUUUGAUGCUUGCAUUAAUGAAAGAUGAGCGGCGGACGGGUGAGUAACGCGUGGGUAACCUGCCCUAUACACAUGGAUAACAUACUGAAAAGUUUACUAAUACAUGAUAAUAUAUAUUUACGGCAUCGUAGAUAUAUCAAAGUGUUAGCGGUAUAGGAUGGACCCGCGUCUGAUUAGCUAGUUGGUGAGAUAACUGCCCACCAAGGCGACGAUCAGUAGCCGACCUGAGAGGGUGAUCGGCCACAUUGGAACUGAGACACGGUCCAAACUCCUACGGGAGGCAGCAGUGGGGAAUAUUGCACAAUGGGCGCAAGCCUGAUGCAGCAACGCCGCGUGAACGAUGAAGGUCUUCGGAUCGUAAAGUUCUGUUGCAGGGGAAGAUAAUGACGGUACCCUGUGAGGAAGCCCCGGCUAACUACGUGCCAGCAGCCGCGGUAAUACGUAGGGGGCUAGCGUUAUCCGGAUUUACUGGGCGUAAAGGGUGCGUAGGUGGUCUUUCAAGUCGGUGGUUAAAGGCUACGGCUCAACCGUAGUUAGCCUCCGAAACUGGAAGACUUGAGUGCAGGAGAGGAAAGUGGAAUUCCCAGUGUAGCGGUGAAAUGCGUAGAUAUUGGGAGGAACACCCAGUAGCGAAGGCGGCUUUCUGGACUGCAACUGACACUGAGGGCACGAAAGCGUGGGUAGCAAACAGGAUCAGAUACCUCGGUAGUCCCAGGGGCGAAUUCCACAGGGGAUAUUAGGCUUAUCGAUACCCUCGACCUCGAGGGGGGGCACAAGUACCCCGCUUUUGUUCCCUUUAUUGAGGGUUCAUUUA
rnacentral:rRNA from 1 species